rnacentral:rRNA from 1 species
GACGAACGCUGGCGGCGUGCUUAACACAUGCAAGUCGAACGGAAAGGCCCUGCUUUUGUGGGUUGCUCGAGUGGCGAACGUGUGUGGAACACGUGAGUAACCUGCCCUUGACUUCGGGAUAACUUCAGGAAACUGGGGCUACUACCGGAUAGGAGCUCCUGCUGCUCGGUGGGGGUUGGAAAGUUUCGGCGGUUGGGGUUGGACUCGCGGCUUAUCAGCUUGUUGGUGGGGUAGUGGCUUACCAAGUCUUUGACGGGUAGCCGGCCUGAGAGGUUGACCGGCCACCUUGGGACUGAGGUACGGCCCAGACUCGUACGGGAGGCAGUAGUGGGGAAUAUUGCACAGUGAGCGGAAGCGUGAUGCAGCGACGCCGGGUGCGGGAUGACGGCUUUCGGGUUGUAAACCGCUUUCGCCUGUGACGAAGCGUGAGUGACGGUAAUGGGUAAAGAAGCACCGGCUAACUACGUG